AAAAACUUUCUCCAUUCUCUAGUUCUUAGUUCUGCGUCUUCAAGCCAAGGAGGAGGAGGAGGAGGAGCCGUGAGCAUCAUCUUGCCUAGCCAUCAUCCACCUUGUGCCGUAGCCUUGAGGAGACUUGCUUUCAAGAUCUUUAAAGUUCAACGUCUCAAGUGUUCAUCUCAUCCCCUUCACUGUGUGUACCCUCUAUCCUCGGCUUGAACGAUCCCUAUUUACCAUAUACUAACGAUAACAUUUUUCAGGGUUAAAUUACGCGCUUGUUUUUAGCGUAACACCUGUCACUAGAAGGUUGCAACCAUUUGAUGAAGAAAUAAACGGAAUUGAGAAAAUCGAGAGAAAAUUGUGGGAAAUUGAGCAAAUUGAAGUUUUCAGAAAAAUGACAAAAUGAUCGAUGGCCGUGAGCUGCAAUUAAUGUCAAGAAGUGUGCAAAAUCCGACAUCAUAAUGGAUGCAAGGAUAACUUCGAAUCGUUAAAGAGAGAAGAAGAAAAAGAAAAAUGAAGUGAAGUGAAAAAUGGCUAAUUAAUUAAUCAUUGAUUGAUUAAUUAAUUAGUUUUCUAGCCAAUGGUUUAGUUAAUAUGGUGCACGUGUCACCCCACCUUCCUGUCUUUUCAAUUAACUAAAGAUUGUCAUCAAUUUUGUUUUCUUUCCCAGCCGCUUGCACGUGCUCCUCUUUCAAUUUUAAUUUAGUGUUCAUUUUAUUUUC